rnacentral:tRNA from 1 species
UCAUCAAUGAUCUAGUGGUAAAAUAAUACCCUUCCAUGGUACAAAAUCAGGUUUAAUUCCUGACUGGUGCA